ACGACUCUCGACAACGGAUAUCUCGGCUCUCGCAUCGAUGAAGAACGUAGCGAAAUGCGAUACUUGGUGUGAAUUGCAGAAUCCCGUGAACCAUCGAGUCUUUGAACGCAAGUUGCGCCCGAAGCCAUCAGGCCGAGGGCACGUCUGCUUGGGUGUCACGC
rnacentral:rRNA from 1 species